UACGUAGGGAGCAAGCGUUGUCCGGAAUCAUUGGGCGUAAAGCGCGCGUAGGUGGCUUCGUAAGUCCGUUGUGAAAGUCAAAGGCUCAACCUUUGAAUGCCGAUGGAUACUGCGGAGCUAGAGUACGGAAGAGGCGAGUGGAAUUCCUGGUGUAGCGGUGGAAUGCGCAGAUAUCAGGAGGAACACCAAUAGCGAAGGCAGCUCGCUGGGACGUUACUGACACUAAGGCGCGAAAGCCAGGGGAGCAAACGGG
rnacentral:rRNA from 1 species